rnacentral:rRNA from 1 species
UACGGGGGGGGCAAGCGUUGUUCGGAAUUACUGGGCGUAAAGGGCUCGUAGGCGGCCAACUAAGUCGGUCGUGAAAUCCCUCAGCUUAACUGGGGAACUGCGUCCGAUACUGGAUGGCUUGGAUUCGGGAGAGGGAUGCGGAAUUCCAGGUGUAGCGGUGAAAUGCGUAGAUAUCUGGAGGAACACCGGUGGCGAAGGCGGCAUCCUGGACCGAUAUUGACGCUGAGGAGCGAAAGCCAGGGGAGCAAACGGG